GACAGAGGUGCCGAGCGUUAGGCGGAAUCACUGGGCUUAAAGCGUGUGUAGGCGGGCGGGCAAGUACCUUGUGAAAUCCCACGGCUCAACCGUGGAACGGCUGGGUAUACUGCCUGUCUUGAGCCAACUAGGGGCGAGCGGAACAGACGGUGGAGCAGUGAAAUGCGUAGAUAUCGUCUGGAACGCCGAAGGUGAAAACAGCUCGCUGGGGUUGUGCUGACGCUGAGACACGAAAGCCAGGGGAGCGAACGGG
rnacentral:rRNA from 1 species